UACGUAGGUGGCAAGCGUUGUCCGGAAUCACUGGGCGUAAAGCGCGCGCAGGCGGCGAUCUACGUCUGGGGUGAAAGCCCGGAGCUCAACUCCGGGACUGCCUUGGAUACGGGAUCGCUUGAGGAUUGGAGAGGCAAGGGGAAUUCCACGUGUAGCGGUGAAAUGCGUAGAGAUGUGGAGGAACACCAGUGGCGAAGGCGACUUUCUGGCCUAUAACUGACGCUGAGGCGCGAAAGCGUGGGGAGCAAACAGG
rnacentral:rRNA from 1 species